ACGUAGGGGGCAAGCGUUGUUCGGAAUUAUUGGGCGUAAAGGGCGUCUAGGCGGGGGAUUAAGUCAGAUGUGAAAGCCCUGGGCUCAACCCAGGAACUGCUUGUAAAACUGGUUCACUUGAGUGCGGGAGAGGAAAGCGGAAUUCCCGGUGUAGCGGUGAAAUGCGUAGAUAUCAGGAAGAACACCAGUGGCGAAGGCGUCUGUCUGGACUGGAACUGACGCUGAAGCGCGAAAGCGUGGGGAGCGAACAG
rnacentral:rRNA from 1 species